CCCACCCUCUCUUCUUGUACUCAGCAAAACAAGCCACCAAGCUGUAGCUCUUUGACUCUGAACCUAUGCCUAAUAUGUCAUCUAUUUAUAACUAGCAAAACCUUAUAAAGAAAGCCAGUGUGUCACAAUAAGUGAGGUAAUUAUUUCUUUAUGCCAGUUGGCUUUUCAAUCAGCUGUGGUGUCUUUGUUUAUUAAGGAUGUAAUCAUCCACUAUUUACACAGAAAUGCAAAGUCAUAUUAAGUGCAAAGUGUAGAAGUCUUAAGUGGGUUUUGAGAAUGGCAGCAUGUGGUAAUUGUUGAAGCUGGAUGGUGAGUUCAUGGUGGCUCAUUACAAUAUUCUAAUUGUAUGUUUGAAAAUUUCCACACUGAAAUUCAGAUUUUAAAAAUAGAGGGUUCUUUGAGUAAGAUAGUCACUCUAAACUCUACCAUUUCAGUGGGACCUACAGAAAAUACUCUUUAAAGCACACAUUUUAGGGUUGCUAAACUGUAUGCAGAUUAACCUCCUAUAUCCAGGUAUCUGCGAUCUGGAACUCUGUAGAAAGUGGAAAUAUCAAAAAAUAAGUAGAACCAGGAUUCCUUUUCUAGCGAUUCUGACUGGUGUGGACAGAGCCCUCAUGCCCCCAUGGGUGUACUCUUCGCCCUUGAUUUAACAUUAAGCUGCUGCAGAGAUGACGUACACCUUAGCCCCUUUAGUGCACUCUGUUUUGUCAUCAACUUUGAUCCUCCCAGACUUAUCACCAAAAAUGUCACUGCCACUUAAAAAGACUUGAAUCCACUUUAUUUAAUUAUGGAGAUCCCGAUCCCCAAUCCUCUGGUCCGGACUCAUCAUAACCUAAGAAUUCCAGAUUUACGAAGAAAACAUACGAAGAUUUCUAGAAUUAAAAUGUUAUAUUUUAUCAAUUUCUGAAUAGCAAAUCAUGAACCUUUAAAGAUAAUCAUUCAUUCUUUUAAAGACCUGCAGAAAAAGAUUCUUUGGUAUUUAAUGGCAGGGUUUUAUUAAUUGAACAUUUUUUACUAACAGGAAAUUCUUCUUAUUAGGAUUUAGACUUACAGGUCCCUAACUUGAUCAUUUUCAUGGGGAAUUAUUUACUCAAUUAUUUAACUGAGUACUGAAAACAUGCCAUGCAUUCUUUUAAGCACUGGGGAUAUGAUGAUAAAUAAAACAAAGAGUUGUAAAGGAGCUUAUAUUUAACAAGAGAAACGCAAUUAAAACAAGUAAGCCGUGUGCCAGAUGCUAAGUGUUCUGGAGUUAAAUAAAUCGGUGAAAGAGAGCCACUAGGGAAGGAAUUGGUGAUAAAGUGUGGCCCAGAGGUACCUCAUUGAUAAGGUGAUAUGCAAAUCCAUACAGCCAUGACAUGAGAAGUGUAUAAUAAAAGUACCUGAAGGAAGAGACGAGUGUCACAGACAAAAGGAACAGCAAAGCCUCUAAAGCAGCAACAUACUUGGUGGUUUAAGGAACAGCAGGAGGUAAGUAGGACUAGGUAAUGGGGUGCAGGUCAUGGAGGCCUUGGGGGCCACUAAAGAAAAUUAACUUUUAUCCUGAGUCAAAUGGGAAGCCAUCGCAGAGCUUCAAGCAGAGGAGUGAUACGAGAUGACUUAUCUUUUACAAGGAUCCUCUGGCUACUGUCUUAAUAGACUGUAAAGGAGCAAGUUUAGAAGCAGAGAGACCAGUAAAGAGGCUAACAAUGCACAACGCAGGCAAGAGAUCAAGGCAGCCUGGCCCUGGGUAAUAGUGGUGAAAUCAGUGAGUGGUGAUUACAUUCCAGACAUAUUUUUAAGAUAGAUUGUCUAUGGGGUAUGAGAAAUGUCAAGAAUGACUCCCAGGUUUUUUUAUCUGAAAAUCUGGAAGAAAAUAAUUGGCAUUUGCUGAGAAAGAAAAUAUCGUGGGAGGGCACAGCAGCAUUUAGACCAUUUUCUAAGGCCUGAGUCUGUUGCUACCUCACUCCUUUUCUCCCAAAUUACAAAAGUUGCAUAAAGCUUAUGUGUUUGAGAGCCACAAGAUGAUGAGGGCUUAUUACUACUGCCUCAACAAACACAGGAAUGAGUUUCCGAGGGCACCUUCUUCCCACUCUGCAUUCCAUCCCCUCCCAGAACCCAGAAACAAAACGUGAGUUUGGAAAAUUGGCUUUCAUUCUGAAAAAUUAUGGACUUAAAAUUUUAAUCAUAUUUAAAAUAUUCAGGACUCUUUCUCCCAUGUCAAGUAAAUACAGGUCUUUUCAUGUCUUCCUCCUCUUUUAGUUUGCCAUUCCCAGUGCUCUUUCUGAAGUGUGCCCUUUGGAGAAAACAGAAAGAAGCUCUUGUUUCAGCAUGUGUUUUCUCACUUGCCUUCCUACAAGUUGAAAGAUGUUUCCUCAUCCUGCCUGGACCAUGCUCUGCCCCACACAGCUGGGAUGGGGCGUGGGCCCACCUGGGGAUAUAGCCGUCACUUCACUUGAUCGUGAACUGUGCUUCUCCAGCAAGGAAUUGUUUCUUGAGUAAGUACUAAACUGUUUUCAAAGGGUUACCCUGUGGAAAGUAUCAUGCUAGAUACUGUACAGAACAAAAAGUUCAAGAAAGCUUACUCUCUUGAAGACAUGAAAAACCUCACGAACUUUUCUUAAGACAUACUAAUCAGUUUAAGUCAGAAAAUAUGUAAUGCUAUCAAAGGUAAAAGGCAAGGUCUGGGAGCAGAGCGGCUGCAAACUGUCUACCACUGUAUCAAUAAGAGGAAAGAAUUCCUCACAGGAAGCCUCACCCUGAGGCUCAGAUGAGUCUGGUGCAGGCACUCCCUGAGUUCAGAGUGGUGGCAGGAUCUAAGGGGCUCAGGAGCCUGUCACACAGAGAGGAGGGGAUGACCACUGAGGAGCUCAGCAAGAAUGAGAUUCCAGAAGAUUUCAGGUUGGUAGCUUAGGGGGAAAAUCUGCAUCAAAUCCCAGGUGUAGUGGCAGGAAGGAAAGCAAUAUCACGUUAGGGACAGGACAAGAAGAGAAACCUGGGCUGAGUCCCUAAACAUUGCAGAAGGCAGGCAGAAAUCAUGCCUGGCAGGAUAACUGCUUCCUCUGUGAUUUCUCCCUGGAUUCCCCUCCCACAGUUUCCCAGCCCCCACAUAGAGUUAACAUCCUCCUUCAUACCACCAGGUACUUUGUACACUUAAUAGACACGCUCAUGUUGUACAUAUGUUUAUGAGCCCAGCAUUGAGCAAUUCCUCACAUGUAAUGAACAUUCCACCAGUACUUACUGAAGUGAGCUGAGAGUCGGGGACUAAAACAGAAUUAAGAUAGCCCCUAUAGUCUCCUCUUGAUGUGAAGAUAAGCCGGCAGACAAUUGUGUUCAUUUUCUGUGGUUGCUGUAACAAAAUAACACAACUUUUUGGCUUAAAACAAUGCACAUUUAUUCUCUUAAGAUUUGGCGGCCAGAAAUCUAAAAUCAGUUUCACUGGGCCAAAAUCGAGGUUCUGGAAGGACUAGCACUUCCUCCAGAGGUUCUUGGGAAGAAUUUGUUCCUUGCCUCCUCUAACUUCUGGUGGCUGCUAGUAUUCCUUGGCUUGUGGCUGCAUCACUCCAGUCUCUGCCUCUGCCACAUUGCCUUCUCAUAUUCUGCAUGUAUGUGUACUAUCCUCUUGACUCUGUCUUAUAAAAACUCUAGUGAUUUCACUUAAGAUUUCCUGGAUAAUCUACAGUAAUCUCCCUAUCUGCAGACCCUUAAGUUAAUCACAACUGGAAGACCUUUUUGCCAUAUAAGGUAACAUUCAGUUUCAAGGGACUGGGACAUGGAUGUCUUUUGGGAGGCCAUUAUCUAGCCUACUAUAAAGAGCUUGGUUACCUACAAAGGCAGAGGAAUGAAGUUAAAAGAAUACAGGAAAGAGAGACACUUCUCUGAUAAGCCCUUUUUGUAUAGUUUUGACCUUCAGGACAAUGUUAAUUUUUUUAUAUUUAAAAUUUAAAUCAACAGGCCAGGCACUGUGGCUCACGCCUGUAAUCCGAGCACUUUGGGAGGCCAAAGCAGGUGGAUCACAAGGUCAACAGAUUGAAACCAUCCUGGCCAACAUGGUAAAACCCCAUCUCUACUAAAAAUACAAAAAUUAGCUGGGCAUGGUGGCAUGCCUAUAGUCCAAGCUACUCAGGAGGCUGAGGCAGGAGAAUCGCUUGAACCCAGGAGUUGGAGGUUGCAGUGAGCCGACAUCAUGCCACUGCACUCCAGCCUGGAGACAGAUUGAGACUCUGUCAAAAAAAAAAAAAAAUCAACAAGAAUGGGAAAGGGUGAAAAAACCUAAAACUGAAAGCAAACUGAAAGAGAUGAUUAAUAUUUCAAAUGAAUAACAAUCACACCUAAAGGGAUUAAGAGAAAAUACUAAAAAGUAAUUUAUGAUUGCAGUAUUUUACCAUACACUGUCAGUCUUGGGAGGAAUAGGAUGGGAGAAGAAGGAACCACAAACAAAUUCUGAACUAUUUUUGUAGGUUUGUUUUUUGUAGUAGUGUGGAGUAAGCAAUUCUGAAACUACCUGAGAUGCAUUAUAGAAAUGAACAAGAGAAUAAAUAUAUUGAUGUGCUUGAGAGCCAAGGUUCUCACUGUGAAGAAGGCCUAUAAAAAUAUCAGAAAAAGCAAAAAAGAAUCCUGAGGGGAGGAAUUGAAAUUAGCAGCACUGGUAUAAAUCUAUGAUUUCUAAAAUUUGCAUAUGUAUGUGUAUAUGCCUAUAUAUGUGUACAUGCAUGCUGGUGUAUAUAUGUAUGUAUGUGCAUGUAUUUAGGUGUGUGUAUGUAUAUGUGUAUAUAUAAGCAUAUAUUAUUUAAAUUUGUCCACUAGAAACUAGAAGCAAAGACACCCCAGUAGCAAUGAGCACACCUAGCACCCAGAUCUUGAUUUUAACACCAUUCUCCACUACAAAAACACCAGGGCUCCUCAGAGAAAUGGCUGACUCCAGAACUUGGUCAAUGUGGGUUAUGAGAACAACCUGGAAUAUCUUAUUCCAAAACGUAAGGAAGUAGUCAAAAAAUGGUAGCACAUGUCCUAAGACAUGGGAGUCAACCCUCUGUGGCUCCCACUGGUCAUAUUUGUGAUAACUUGAGCACUAAGAUUAUUAAGGAUAGUAAUGAAUUGUAAACCUUUGAAAAAAAUUAAAAUCCAUAACCUAUUUACCUAGUAAACAGAAAAGGAUAUACAGACAACCGGGAAAGAGGAGUGAGUUCUUGCUUACGUAAAAUGCCUAGUGCAGACUGGAAAAUGUAGGAGUGCUUGGAGGUAGCAAAUGAUCAGUUUGCAAACAUCACAUUAAAGUUGGUGCUGGCAAGCAUCAUCAAUGGACACUAAAUCUAAGGGUAAUUUUUAAAUUAAAUCCAGAUGUUCUUAAAGUGUCUUCCCAGGUUGCUUGUUAAUUACAAAGAAAAAAAUGGUGUCUAUAAAAUAGAGAAUUGGACAAUGUUUUGACUGGGUUUAAAAUUAACCUCACCAAUAUGAGGCUGAUGGGCAUCACCCACCUCAGCUCAGGAUGUAAUGCCCUGAAUAUGAUACCACAUCACUUAUGCUGUUUUCCAGCCAAGAAUGCAUAAUCUGAAUACAAUCACAAGAAAUCUUCAGACAAGCCCAAAAUGAGAAACAUUUUAUUUUAUAAAAUACUAUAUUAUUCAAAAAUGUCGAUGUCAUAAAAGACAGGGCUGUUUUGGUUUAAACUGUAUGAUAUCACUUAUGUGUGGAAUCUAAAAAGAUUGAACUCAGAAGUAGAAAGUAGAACAGUGGUUACCAGAGGCUGGGAGGUAAGAGAAAUGGAGACAUGUUGGUCAAAGGAUAUAAACUUUGCUAUAAGAUGAACAAGUUCUGGGGAUCUAUGUGCAGCAUAGGUAGUGGUAGAUGUGUUAAUUAAUUUGAUUUUGGUUAUCAUCACUACACAAUGUAGAUGUAAAAGAGAAGAAAUAAUCACAUCAUAUGCCUUGAAUAUAUUCAGUAUCUUGUCAAUUAAAUAUUUUUAAAUAACAACGUACCUGAUUAAACAUACACACACAAAGAGCCUAACAGAAAACAUGAUAACUAACUCAAUGCAAUAAAUGAUCCUAAGCUGAAUUCUGUACCAGGAGAAAAGUGCUAGAAAGACAUUAUUAGAUCAAAUGAUAAACUUGAAAUGUGGAUGAUAGGUUAUGUAAGAGUAUUGCAUUAAUGGUGAAUUUCCUCAAGUUAGCAGCUAUACUGUUUUUAUGAAAAACAAUAUCUUUAUUCUUAAACAUAACAUGGAAAUACUUAGGGUAAAAGAACCAUGAAGGAUGUAACUUACUCUUAAAUGGUUAAGAAAAAAUUAUUAUGUGUGUGUAUGUAUGUACACACACAGACAAAUACACACAUGCAAACACACACACACACACGCACAUAAUAGGAGGGUAGUGAAAGACAGUGAGAGUACUCAAAGCAUAUGAAGUAAAAUGUUAGCAAUAGUUGAGUCCGGGUAAAUGAUCAGGUAUUCUUUGUACUAGUCUUAUUCUUGUAACAUUUCUACGAGUGUAAAACUAUUUCCAAAUACAAGGUUUUUAAAAAUAGCAUUGUUCACUGUCACUCUUAGACUGUUAGAAAAUGCAGCAAAAAAUACUGAGCCAAAAAGAAAGCUCUAUGAAAUGAAAAUAGUACUGUGAAGAACUCUUCAAAGAAGGCAUCACUUCAGAUAGAUUUAUACUGGCUCUAAACCCCCAACUUCCCAAUUACGUCAUCAUAAAAAUCUGCACACCAAACAGCAGCACCUCAGAAUCUUCACGUUUCUCUUUCUUUUAAAUUCAAGCAUGAAUGACUCAUUAUUGGGUGAGCCUAUAUACAGAAAUCCUUCACAAUACUGGGUAAUUGUAACAGAUAUAUUAAAGGUAUAGGUAACAGAUAGAUAUGUUAAAGAAAACCAAAAAAUUCUAGCAAAAACUUUUUCUAAAGAACCGUAACUCCAAUUACAACACAGCAGUAGCAGCUGAAGAGUGAUGACAAAUAAAAUCCCUGAAUAAUAAACGCCGAGGUAGGCUCUAAAAGAAUUGCUAAUUAUUUGAGCCAAAGAAUACACAAAUUUCACAAAGAACAGUACAUUUGAUCAAUUGUCCAGUUUAUCAAUUGGGAUGUUCAAUAUUAACUUUGUGUUUAUUUGGGGGUUUUUUUCUUGCCUCAGAUUUAUUCAUACAAAUAGCAUGGAAGGACAGAAGCUCCAUCCAGACGGUAGCCCAGUGAUCAAAUCGGUCCUUCUGUCCUCAUGUUGGCAGAGAGGCUUUAUGGGGGCCUGGACACCUUUGGGAGCCUGAGCUGGAACUGCAGCUGCAGC
rnacentral:lncRNA from 10 species